rnacentral:tRNA from 1 species
UCCGACGUAGCUCAAUGGUAGAGCCAUCGGCUGUUAACCGGUUGGUUGCUGGUUCGAGUCCAGCCGUCGGAG